rnacentral:rRNA from 1 species
AUGGAGGGGGCCCUUAUUGACUUAGGGCGCCUCGUGUUCCAUAGACCCUUUGGCCCCCUUGAGGUGGCUGCAUGGGAUGCUCUCAUUCAGGCCAUCGCUCUUCAGCCUCUAGAUGCCGACAACGCGGGCGGCUUCGUCUUGUGGUGCCUCGAGACUUCGGGGCGCUUCUCGACCAAGUCCCUCUACCAAGUGAUUGCUCCUUCCACGUCCCCUGAGCCGUUCAGUCUGAUCUGGGACAUCUACCUUCCCUUGAAGAUCAGGAUCUUCCUCUGGCAGUGGAUUCGGGGAUGCUUGCCCUCAGGGGUUGAGGUGCGCAAGUGUAACAAGCCUGGUGACGGCCUGUGCCCCCUCUGUGAUGUGGCGUAA